rnacentral:RNase_P_RNA from 1 species
AGUUAGCCAGAUGGUCGCAUGUCUUUAUAAUGAAGAACAUGAGGAAAGUCCGAGCUCCAAAGAACAGGGCGCCAGUUAACUGCUGGUGAAGGCGACUUUAAGGAAAGUGCAACAGAAAUAAACCGCUUUGCCAUUGGCAGAGUAAGGAUGGAAAGGGGAGGUAAGAGCUCACCGCACGUUUGGUAACAAAAGUGGCACAUGUAAACCCCGCCUGGAGUAAGGUUAAAAGAAGCAUCAGGGUUGUUCGCUCGCUUCUUAAUAACACCGCUUGAACGCGUUGGAGACAUCGCGUCUAGAUAGAUGGCCAUCAAAUACAGAACUCGGCUUAUAGACUAGCU